UGUUCUCUGGGCUACGCGUGAGCCGGCAAUGUCCCUGUGCCGAUACUUACAAACCCAGGGUGAAUGUUUUAAUGACAUUGAGCAAGCUCGGCUCGUAUCGAGAAGCCUUAGGAGUUAUUCAUUUACCCGCCUUGAACCUACGGUUCUUAGGUCGAAGUCGGCCACGGUAGCCUUGAGAGCAA
rnacentral:other from 2 species